rnacentral:rRNA from 1 species
AGCGGCGGACGGGUGAGUAACACGUAGGCAACCUGCCUGUAAGACUGGGAUAACUCGUGGAAACGCGAGCUAAUACCGGAUAACACUUUUCAUCUCCUGAUGAGAAGUUGAAAGGCGGCUUUUGCUGUCACUUACAGAUGGGCCUGCGGCGCAUUAGCUAGUUGGUAAGGUAAUGGCUUACCAAGGCGACGAUGCGUAGCCGACCUGAGAGGGUGAUCGGCCACACUGGGACUGAGACACGGCCCAGACUCCUACGGGAGGCAGCAGUAGGGAAUCUUCCGCAAUGGACGAAAGUCUGACGGAGCAACGCCGCGUGAGUGAUGAAGGUUUUCGGAUCGUAAAACUCUGUUGUUAGGGAAGAACAAGU